rnacentral:tRNA from 1 species
GCAGUGGUGGUUCAGUGGUAAGAUUCUUGCUUUCCCCAUGGGAGACCCAGGUUCAAUUCCUGGUCGAUGCA